AAAGAAAGAAAGAAAGAAAGAAAGAAAGAAAGAAAGGAAGGAAGAAAGAAAGAAAUGAAAGAAAAGAAAAGAAAAAAGAAAGAAGAAAAAGAAAAAAAGCUUGGGUGCAUUUUGGAUGAGGAACUGAAAUGAAGGUUAAUGCCUGAUAUCUUGAUCACUAACUAAAAUAAGACAGAUCAGGAGUACAGGGCGUGGCCAGGAGGAAGUGGCUGUGGUAUAGAAAAGGCCACAGGAAGAGGAGGCUCUGGUGCCUAGGGAGUGGUUCCGGACUCUGGAGAAGAGGGCAUGGUAUCUAGAGAGCAGAAAGGUCUCCAGGAACCAUCUAAGGAUCUUUGAUUGUCCGAUUUUUACAUCAUCACUGAAAGAAAAGAAAGCCUUGUGGUUAUCAUAGGAACUGUCUCAUAUACCACAAAAAUCUACCAGCAAUAUAGGAAAUCUUUAAGAGUUCAUCUUCUGAUGCCAAAUGUGGCCCACUCCAGUUCUACAAGCAAAUCUGACAGAAGAGAGCACCUGUGUCCACCAGCUCACACAUACAAGAUUCCUCCUGGUGGCUAAGGCUGUUUGUGUCCCUGGUUUGGGGCCAGUGAGACUUGACAAGGAACACUGAUGGGAAACAGUUGGCGGGAGGAUUCUUCACUUCUGAGCCGUAGCCCAAAUGGAGGUUUCAGGCUCCUGACGUCUCGUGUUCUUCCUCUCAGGAAGACUGUCCCAAGGACUUUCUUCUAGUAGCUGUCUGGAGAGGAUGACUUGACGCAUGUGCACCCCUGCAGACGGAUGCUUGGGGACAAUACUUCCGGUGUGGGGAUGGGGAGGUCAUUGGAAGGGAAAGGAAGGGAAAAAAAGACAGUGGAGGAUAGCAUAACCAGAAUUUAUGUAUAUAUCAUUUGCACAAUAACAAAAUAAAUCAAUUACAAAACAGAAAAAUCUGCAUUCAUUUUUUUCCAUGGCUGAAUAUUCACCUGCAGACAGGUUUCUCACCCUCUCACUCACCUGUCGAUAGACACUCUUUGUUUACAGCGUGGUUAGCCAGAAGAGGGCUGCUUGCAUACUUUUCUCUCGAGAUACCUGUUCAAAUCACUUCCAGUUCUCUCUUGGGUACAAAAAUGAAAUUUCUGGGUCAUGUGGUAGUUUCAUCUCCAACUUGUAGAAAUCACCAAACUGCUUCCUGCAGUGGCUUUGGCAUUUGCCAUGCUCAUGAAGGUCAUGUGUCCCCUACAUUCUCACCAACUCUUAUUUUCCACUUUGUUCUGUUUCCUAACUUUCCUAGCAAAUGAAGAGUGGUGUCUCACCCUGGC
rnacentral:lncRNA from 1 species